CGCACGGUGGCUUAGUGGUUAGCACGUUCACCUCACACCUCCAGGGUCAGAGGUUCGAGUGGCCCUGUGUGUGCGG